CCCGGCUCGUUCUGAUUGGUCCACACGUCUGAGAGCUCGCCAGGUGGGACCUGUCGGGCGCGUCCCGAUUGGCUCGCAGAGGAUGACGUUUGGAGAGGUGUUCUUUCAAAGGCAGAGUGGGUCUUUGCACCAUGUCCCGAUCACGGCUGCAUGGCUUUCAGCAGGUGGACAAGCCCCCACCAUUCUCUAUCAAUGAAACGAUGCUGCGUUGCAGAGGAAGAGGAGCCACAUCGCGGCAGGCGGCCUGGUGAAACAGCUGACGUCGGCUGUUUCUCAGUGCAGGGGGGGGGGCCCCGGAGAAUUUAGUUAUUGCUUUGGGAGGCUUUGUGUCGGCUCUGCUUGGUUUGUGGUUUAUCAGGAGUCUGACAGGUUCCCAUGUGGUGCUGCUUUGGCCACCAUCCAAUGCAGAUCCUUCUCCACAGGGAAAAUAGACCGCUAACAUCUUAGCUCUGUGUUUUUUGUAAAGCUCCAUGCUGUAGCUGCAUGCACGUCGAUGAGGUUUACCGACAUGUUUGACCAUUACUAUUGUAACUGUCAUAUAAAAAUAAAAAAAACACAACACGCCUUGAGUAACUGGAGGGUUGUCCUCAAACACCCCAAAUCCAAAGUCCUUAUUAUAUGCAUGUAGGCACGCCACUAAAAGGGACAUCUUAUCCAUAAUAGCAGCACCACACUGGGGAAUGACCUUGAUAAUGCACAUUAUUUAUUGUCUUAUCUUAAACUUCAAAAGGUAGAGCAGGAAAGUAAAUUGAGCUUUCACACAUCCAACCCGAGGCUCAUGGAGUUUCCCUGCAUGCUGCAAACAGAUUGCAUUUGACCAAAUAAUUUAACAGACUUAAUGUGGGUAACAUUCAGUUAUAAUUAAUGCAUUUGUCUGACCGUGUCAAACUAAACCAGCUUUGUUUUGUUGAUGGCAAAACUAUGAGUUAAAAGUAAAGGAUAAUACAAUUUAGUGGUGGAAUUAAAGGUGAUUAUUGUGAAUAACGGCUAUGAUAGUGAAUAAGUAAUGCGUUUCUAACAGUAAUAGUGAAUGCUUUGGCUCAAUGAACAGGUCAAAUCAUUUCUGUGGCCAUCAAGGAUGAAUGGAUUGACGGAUGGGAGG